AUUGAACGCUGGCGGCAGGCCUAACACAUGCAAGUCGAACGAGUGGCGGACGGGUGAGUAAUGUCUGGGAAACUGCCUGAUGGAGGGGGAUAACUACUGGAAACGGUAGCUAAUACCGCAUACCAUCGGAUGUGCCCAGAUGGGAUUAGCUAGUAGGUGGGGUAAAGGCUCACCUAGGAGACGAUCCCUAGCUGGUCUGAGAGGAUGAACAGCCACACCGGAAUGGAGGCACGGUCCCGACUCCUACGGGAGGCAGCAGUGAGGAAUAUUGCACCAUAGGCACAAGCCUGACGCAGACAUGCCGCAGAUAUGAAGAAGGCCUUCCGGUUGUAAAAUACUUUCAUCGGGGAGGCGUUACCCACAGAAGAAGCACCGGCUAACUCCGUGCCAGCAGCCGCGGUAAUAC
rnacentral:rRNA from 1 species